GAUGAAUGCUGGCGGCGUGCCUAAUACAUGCAAGUCGAACGCUGGAGCUCUAGCUUGCUAGAUCGAAGGAGUGGCGAACGGGUGAGUAAUACAUAAGCAACCUACCCACGAAGACUGGGAUAAUCUCUGGAAACGGGGACUAAUACCGGAUAGGUAAUCGGAAGGCAUCUUCUGGUUAUUAAAGGUUAAAAACACUGUUGGAUGGGCUUAUGGCGCAUUAGUUAGUUGGUGAGGUAACGGCCCACCAAGACGAUGAUGCGUAGCCGGCCGGAGAGGGUGAACGGCCAGAUUGGGACUGAGACACGGCCCAGAAUGCUACGGGAGGCAGCAGUAGGGAAUUUAAGGCAAUGGGGGCAACCCUGACCGAGCAACGCCGCGUGAGUGAAGACGGCGUUCGGGUUGUAAAGCUCUGUGGUAAGGGAAGAACGGUAGAUAGAGAAGAUCUAAGUGACGGUACCUUACCAGAAAGCCACGGCUAACUACGUG
rnacentral:rRNA from 1 species